GAUCAAGCUACUAAGAGCUUAUGGUGAAUGCCUUGGUGCCAGGAGGCGAUGAAGGACGUAGUAAGUUGCGAUAAGCCACGGGGAGCCGCAAGCAGGCUGUGAGCCGUGGAUUUCCGAAUGGGAUAACCCAGCCAGUUUAACCGCUGGCUAUCGCCGGAUGAAUGCAUAGUCCGGCGAGGCGACACGGGGUGAAGUGAAACAUCUCAGUAACCCCAGGAAAAGAAAACGAAAUGAUUCCGUGAGUAGUGGCGAGCGAAAGCGGAGGAGGCCAAACUGGAGGGACUUGUCUCUCCGGGGUAGCGGGACCUCGACGUGGGCAGCGGAGAGUUAGCAGAACGCUCUGGAAAGAGCGGCCAGAGACCGUGACAGCCGGGUCUGCGAAAACUUGAAGCGCCCUAGAGGGAUCCCAAGUAGCACGAUGCACGUGAAACUCUGUGCGAAUCCGUCCGGACCACCGGAUAAGCCUAAAUACUCCCUGGCAACCGAUAGUGAACUAGUACCGCGAGGGAAAGGUGAAAAGAACCCCUUCCAGGGGAGUGAAAGAGUACCUGCAACCAUGAGCUUACAAUGUGUCGGAGCGCCGCAAGGCGUGACGGCCUGCCUUUUGCAUAAUGAGUCUGCGAGUUAUUGUCAGUGGCCAGCCGAAGGUUCUCUGAACCGAAGGCGAAGGGAAACCGAGUGUGAAGAGCGCGACCAGUCGCUGGCGAUAGACCCGAAGCGGAGGUGAUCUACCCUUGAGCAGGUUGAAGCUGCGGUAACACGCAGUGGAGGACCGAACCCGUGGUUGUUGAAAAAUCCUGGGAUGACUUGAGGGUAGGAGCGAAAGACUAAUCAAACCCCGUGAUAGCUGGUUCUCUCCGAAAUCGCUUGAGGGCGAGCGUCGGGCCAGUACUCGGAGGAGGUAGAGCACUGAAUGGCUUAGGGGCCCCACCAGGCUGCCAAAACCAAUCAAACUCCGAAUUCCUCCGAUCCCCGUACCCCGGCAUUUAGGCUGCCGGUGAUAAGAUCUGCAGCCGAGAGGGCAACAGCCCAGACCAUCAGCUAAGGUGCCCCAAUGUGAUUAAGUGGAAAGGAUGUGACGUUACUCAGACAGUGAGGAUGUUGGCUUAGAGGCAGCCAUCAUUUAAACAGUGCGUAAUAGCUGACUCAUCGAGCGAUGUCGCGCCGAAGAUGAUUGGCGAUCAAAUCACAUACCGAAGCUAUGGAUUGAAUCCCGGUUCGCCGGGGUUCAGUGGUAGGAGAGCGUAAUCAACGCGGUGAAGCUGGACGGAGACGGAAAGUGGAGCGUUGAUUAGUGAGAAUGCAGACACGAGUAGCGAGAAAACAGGUGAGAAUCCUGUUCGCCGUAAACCCAAGGUUUCCUGGGCCAGGUUCGUCCCCCCAGGGUUAGCCGGGAGCUAACGCGAGGCCGGAAGGCGUAGCGGAUGCACAGCAGGUUAAAUAUUCCUGCGCCGGCCCGGGUUAAGACUGUGAAUGACGCGUUGAGAAAAGUGACUAAGCAAUCGAAUGCUGAGCCUAGGCUUCGGCCAAAGCGCAUCACCGGACAAGGCGCCGAGAAAAGUUUGCAGUUGUUCCCCGGGUCGCCCGUACCGUAAACCGACACAGGUGGGUGGGUGUAAAUGCACUCAGGCGCGCGAGAGAAACUUCUCUAAGGAACUAGGCACAUUCGCCCCGUAACUUCGGAAGAAGGGGUGCUCAAGACCGCGACAGCAAUGUGGCGGUGGCGAGUCUCAGUAAAUUGCGUUUAGCGACUGUUUAACAAAAACACAGCACUCUGCCAAGUCGUGAAGACGACGUAUAGGGUGUGACACGUGACCAAUGCGGAAAGAUUAAGAGAUCUUGUCAGCCGCAAGGCGAAGCUCGGUCUUUAAGUCCCCGUGAAUGUCGGCCGUAACUAUAACGGUCCUAAGGUAGCGAAAUUCCUUGUCGGGUAAGUUCCGACCUGCACGAAUCGUGUAACGACUAAACGACUGUCUCGGAGAGGAUCUCGGCGAAACUGUAACGGCGGUGAAGAUGCCGCCUGCCCGCAGUAGGACGGGAAGACCCUAUGCACCUUUACUGUAAGCUCGUAUUGGGUUCUGGUUUGUGAUGCGUAGCGUAGGUGGGAGACUUUGAAGUGAGGGCCUCGGUCUUCAUGGAGUCGCAAUGUGAAACACCACUCUUCGCCAAUUAGGAUUCUAACCCCGGGCUGUGAAGCCAGCCGGGGGACAGUGCGUGCGGGUCAGUUUGACUGGGGCGGUUUCCUCCCAAAAAGUAACGGAGGAGCGCGAAGCUCAGCUCAGCACGGUUGGCAACCGUGCGUUGAGGGUAUGGCUAGAAGCUGGGUUAACUGUGAGACCCACAAGUCGAGCAGGUGCGAAAGCAGGCCCAAAUGAUCCGGCGGUUUAAUGUGGAAUUGCCGUCGCUCAUCGGACAAAAGGUACGCUAGGGAUAACAGGCUGAUCGCUUCCAAGAGUUCAUAUCGACGAAGCGGUUUGGCACCUCGAUGUCGGCUCAUCGCAUCCUGGGGCUGAAGAAGGUCCCAAGGGUCCGGCUGUUCGCCGGUUAAAGCGGUACGCGAGCUGGGUUCAGAACGUCGUGAGACAGUUCGGUCCUUAUCCACUGUGGGCGCAGGAGACUUGAGGGGUUCUUUUCCUAGUACGAGAGGACCGGAAAAGACGCACUUCUGGUGUGGCAGUUGUCCCGUCCGGGGCAUCGCUGCGUAGCCAUGUGCGGAAGAGAUAAGCGCUGAAAGCAUCUAAGUGCCAAGCUCCUCCCAAGAUAAGGUCUCCCGGACCGCAAGGUCCCUAAAGACCCCCGGAAGACUACCGGGUUGAUAGGCCAGAGGUGUAAGCGGGGUGACUCGUUUAGCUGACUGGUACUAAUUGGUCGUGCGGCUUGAUCGC
rnacentral:rRNA from 1 species